GCCAAACAGCUAGCUUAACCACAUAAACUAAAACACCAACAUAGAUAACCAAACAAGAACUAAAAUUAACCAACAAACCAUUUUUCCACCACAGUAUGGGAGACAGAAAAGGAUAAUAAAGCAACAGAGAAAGUACCGCAAGGGAAAGCUGAAAGAGAAAUGAAACAACCCAUUAAAGCCCAAAAAAGCAGAGAUUAAUCCUCGUACCUUUUGCAUCAUGAUUUAGCCAGCACUACCCGGCAAAGAGAACUUUAGUCAGGAACCCCGAAACCGAGUGAGCUACUCCGAGACAGCCCAUCAUGGGGCCAACCCAUCUCUGUGGCAAAAGAGUGGGAAGAGCUCCGAGUAGAGGUGAUAAGCCUACCGAACCCGGUCAUAGCUGGUUGCCUAAGAAGUGGAUACAAGUUCAGCCCCUCACCCCCUCAAGCCACAACAGUAAUACAAAUACUAGGCCACGAGCAAAGUAAGGGAGUUAGUCAGAAGAGGUACAGCUCUUUUGAUUCAGGACACAACCUUACUGGGAGGCCAAGGAUCACACUCAACAAGAUCAACCGUUCUAGUGGGCCUAAAAGCAGCCACCUACACAGAAAGCGUUAAAGCUCAGACGGAUCAAUAAACCCCUAUUCCGAUAACACAACCCCCCCCCCCAAAACAGUAUUAGGCCGCCCCAUGCCCCCAUGGGAGAGACCAUGCUAAAAUGAGUAAUAAGAAGACGCCCUUCUCUUAGCACAUGUGUAAGUUAGUCUGGACCCCCCGCUAACAAAUAACGAACCCAACCCAAGAGAGCAUUAUGAACUCAAACCUACUCAAGAAAACCACACACAUGCGUAUCGUUAACCCUACACAGGAGUGCUCACAAAAAGAAAGACCCAAAGGAAAAGAAGGAACUCGGCAAACACAAGCCUCGCCUGUUUACCAAAAACACCGCCUCCUGCAAAUCAAAGUAUAAGAGGUAACGCCUGCCCAGUGACUCAUGUUUAACGGCCGCGGUAUUUUAACCGUGCAAAGGUAGCGCAAUCACUUGUCUUUUAAAUGAAGACCUGUAUGAAUGGCAUCACGAGGGCUUACCUGUCUCCUUUUCCAAGUCAAUGAAAUUGAUCUGCCCGUGCAGAAGCGGACAUACCCUUACAAGACGAGAAGACCCUGUGGAGCUUAAGACAUAAGGCCAACCACGUCAAACAAUCAAGUUCACAGUUAUAAACAAAUGUUACAUGGCCAACAUGUCUUCGGUUGGGGCGACCACGGGGGAAAAACAAGCCCCCACGUGGAAUGGGGCUCCCACCCCCAAGCCAAGAAAUACACCUCCAAGCCUCAGAACAUCUGCCCAUAAAUGACCCGGCCAAGCCGAUUAACGAACCAAGUUACCCCAGGGAUAACAGCGCAAUCCCCUCCAAGAGCCCAUAUCGACGAGGGGGUUUACGACCUCGAUGUUGGAUCAGGACAUCCUAAUGGUGCAGCCACUAUUAAGGGUUCGUUUGUUCAACGAUUAAAGUCCUACGUGAUCUGAGUUCAGACCGGAGUAAUCCAGGUCAGUUUCUAUCUGUAACGCUACUUUUCCUAGUACGAGAGGACCGGAAAAAGAGAGGCCCAUGCUCCAGGCAUGCCCCACCUCCACCUAAUGAAAACAACUAAACUAGGUAAGGAGGCGCAACCCCAAGCUCCCGAUAAGAGCAU
rnacentral:rRNA from 1 species